CGGCCGCGUCGACAUACUUAGUGGCGGACGGGUGAGUAACGCGUGAGAAUCUGCCUUCAGGACGGAGACAACAGUUGGAAACGACUGCUAAGCCCCGAUGAACCGAAAGGGAAAUAUUUAUAGCCUGAAGAUGAGCUCGCGUCCGAUUAGCUAGUUGGCGGGGUAACAGCCCACCAAGGCAUCGAUGGGUAGGGGUUCUGAGAGGAAGGUCCCCCACAUUGGAACUGAGACACGGUCCAAACUCCUACGGGAGGCAGCAGUGAGGAAUAUUGGUCAAUGGACGCAAGUCUG
rnacentral:rRNA from 1 species